UGCAAGUCGACGGGGGUAGCAAUCCCUAGUGCGAACGGGUGAGUAAUGCAUCGGAACGUGUCCCGUAGUGGGGGAUAGCCCGGGGAAACCCGGAUUAAUCCCGCAUAUGCUCUACGGAGGAAAGUGGGGGACCCGCAAGGGCCUCACGCUAUGGGAGCGGCCGAUGUCGAAGUACAUAGUUGGUGAGGUAAAGGCUUACCAAGGCGACGAUCCGUAGCUGGUCUGAGAGGAUGAUCAGCCACACUGGGACUGAGACACGGCCCAGACUCCUACGGGAGGCAGCAGUGGGGAAUUUUGGACAAUGGGGGCAACCCUGAUCCAGCCAUGCCGCGUGAGUGAAGAAGGCCUUCGGGUUGUAAAGCUCUUUCGGCCGGAGCGGAAGCUUAUCUCCUAAUAGGGGAUGAGGUUG
rnacentral:rRNA from 1 species